UACGAAGGGGGCUAGCGUUGCUCGGAAUCACUGGGCGUAAAGCGCACGUAGGCGGAUUGCUAAGUCAGGGGUGAAAUCCUGGAGCUCAACUCCAGAACUGCCUUUGAUACUGGGAGCCUUGAGUUCGGGAGAGGUGAGUGGAACUGCGAGUGUAGAGGUGAAAUUCGUAGAUAUUCGCAAGAACACCAGUGGCGAAGGCGGCUCACUGGCCCGAUACUGGCGCUGAGGUGCGAAAGCGUGGGGAGCAAACAGG
rnacentral:rRNA from 1 species